CAGUAGCCGCGGUAAUACGUAGGGUGCGAGCGUUGUCCGGAAUUACUGGGCGUAAAGAGCUCGUAGGCGGUUUGUCGCGUCGUCUGUGAAAUUCUGCAGCUUAACUGUAGGCGUGCAGGCGAUACGGGCAGACUUGAGUACUACAGGGGAGACUGGAAUUCCUGGUGUAGCGGUGAAAUGCGCAGAUAUCAGGAGGAACACCGGUGGCGAAGGCGGGUCUCUGGGUAGUAACUGACGCUGAGGAGCGAAAGCGUGGGUAGCGAACAGGAUUAGAUACCCCCGUAGUCCCUGUCUCUUAUAC
rnacentral:rRNA from 1 species